GUGAAUAGCUGUCGGGAAUAGCACGGAUUUCGGCAGGAUGCUAGGAAAAGCUCUGCUUUAAACAGAGGAUCGCCGUACAGGAAGACAUGGGGCCAAUAUAAGGUCCCUGUUGUGCACUCUGGCAACUCCACAUUUGGCAUGAAGGACUGUGAAACUACUGCCCAAGCCACUUUUCAUCCUGGCAGCAGCAGAGCUUUUUUCUGAAUUCCUCCUUGAACUGAAGAUGUGUAUGAACACUGGAGAAAGAGCCUGUGGAUGAGGAAACCAGAAUCUCCUGUUCUGAUACCAGCAGGGACCUGCUGUUCAUCUUGCAACCAGAAGCAUGGACAAUUUCACAGCAGAGUCGCUUGGGUGUUUAUCAGAAGCAGCAGAAAUGUACCCAGUUAAAAGUUUGCACUUUUUUUGCAAAGAGUUUUAGUAGCUUACCAGAAUAGGGUUAUAAGGGGAUGUGAGCAGAAAAGCUUUUUAAAAUCACUGUAAUAAGUAGUGGUACUGAAGACACUCUGUUUAAGAGUAGCCUAAGCACACAGAUGAAGUCUAAGCAGACAGAAAGAGAUCUGGUUGACAGUAUUGGUCUGGUUUAGCAGCUUUCAGAGAAGAUUGCUUCUUCCAUUGCAGCUCCAUGCUUCCAAGCAGAGAGCCAGGGUAUGCAUCCUGGUGUUGUUUCCAGAACCAGCGUGCUAGCUGUGGUGCCAAAAGGAUUCGAAUUUGUGCAUUUUAUAUAGAUGGUGUCCUAACUUGGAGUGAGAGACCUUUCUCCAGAAGAGAAGGUUAAUGGACCUUCCACGAAACCUGUGUGUGUGACUGCAUUGAGUUUAAACACUGCCAGCUGUGGGAUGGCAUCUUGACGUCCAGUGCCAGCCCUGCACGGGAAAGGAGGGCGUGUGUUCCCUUGGUGGGUGCUCCGUGCCUUCCAUCAUUGAGCUUUCACACACUGGGGCAGUAUUUCUUGGCUACUCAUAAAGCCUGGGUGAGUGGGAUCCCUGGAGUUUUCAUACCUGUUGGGGAGAUUGGGCUGCUGUACUUGAGGUCUCUUUCCUUAAGAACCAUUCUGGCAGGUAAAAGCCCCUUGAUGCUAAGAGCUUUGUAGAAUUUCUGCUGAUGAACCCCUGUGUAUCUCCUCCUGUCCUCUGCACAUCAUGUGAGUUUCUGGUAGUGCUUUUUCCUGGACCCCUUUCUCACACCUCCCCGAGUUCUGAACCUCCUUGUUUGGAAAGGGGAAACACUCAAUUUGCCCUUAUUUUGUCAGCUGGGCUGUGCAUGGAGGUGUUUCUCCAGCCACUGCCCUUUUAUGCACUUCCCUCUUUCAUUCCACAAGGGCGAGGAGCACAGCAGGUCUGCAGAACUUCGAUUGCAAGUGGGUCUGGAGGUCAGUUUGUGGUUUCUUAGCCCUAGGAUGUUGAACAAGUCUCCUUCCUAUAUUUUACCUUAUUUUCUGGUCAGACCUAUAUUUACUUCCCAGGUCUCCCUGUUCCCUUUAAAUCUCCCGGCAUCACUGGUGUAAAUAGGAUUUGCCUGUCCCUGUGAAAUGGGCAUCUCUGUGGCUGCUUGCCCUGCCUUCUCUGGCUCUUUGUGGGACAGGGCUGUCCAGGUGUCAUUGUCUGCGUGGCCAAACCUGCCUCCUUCUCUGCCUUUUUAAUUAAAAAAUGGUUGGCAUCAGGGGCUCCUGCAGCAAUGAAAGGGGAACGAUGAAACUUUGAAGAAUUUGGGGCAUAAAGUUGAUCUCUAAAUUUCAAUGUACUCGUUGCACUUAAGCAGUUGAUACAUUUUAUUAUUGAGCAUUCAUGUGACCUAAUUUCCCUUAGUACUGUACAUUUAGCUUUAUACAUCUGCACCUAAUUUGUAAAAAAGGACUUAAUGAGAAACUUCAAACAGUUUAAAUGUCAAUUACAAAGAAAGCGAGGUUUUAAAGUUCCAGUAAUCUGUCCAUAUUGGUCACCGAAACAUGAUCCCAGGUGGACAUUAAUUCGAGACAGAUGGCAUUCCAAAGGCACAAUUACAAAGAGCUUAUAUAUUUUCAACACUAACAAGCUGUCACGCUAUGUUGUAGCUACACUUCCACUACUGUAUAAGCACAAUUGCUGCUUUAUCUGCUGUGGACUUGGUAAUAAAGGGGUUUGAUUCUCCACUCUUGAUAUUGUCAGUGGGAUUUUUGUGAACCGGAGAGCGGGGUUAGUUAGUGUGAAUAUCUUUCAUCUGCCCAGCCUGUUGGGUCGGGGGGUUGUGUUUGUUUCUGUGGUUUUUGUUAAGUUGGUGAAAUGCUCUUCAAGGAAAGGAGAGGAAAUGUUGAA